ACGCUCGACACCUACGGGAGGGCAGCAGUGGGGAAUAUUGCACAAUGGGGGAAACCCUGAUGCAGCGACGCCGCGUGAGUGAAGAAGUAUUUCGGUAUGUAAAGCUCUAUCAGCAGGGAAGAAGAUGACGGUACCUGAGUAAGAAGCCCCGGCUAACUACGUGCCAGUAGCCGCGGUAAUCUGAGCGGGCUGGCAAGGC
rnacentral:rRNA from 1 species